GCAUCGAUAGCUCAGUGGCAGAGCGGUGGGGCGUUUACCCAUGCGGCCCGGGUUCGAUUCCCGGUCGAUAUA